rnacentral:lncRNA from 1 species
GACAAGCAAAGUUGAACUCUGCAGGUGGGCCAAGGAUGUCACAAUUCCAGCCUCAUAAUGACCAUGCCUGAGUGUAUGGACUGGAGCUAAGAUAUCUUAAGCUGGGUCACAGCCCAUGCUCACUUCAGUCUGGAGCCCCCACUUGGCCUUCGGUCUUCAGUCUCUGCAAUUGAAAAACAGAGAGAAGCCUCUCAGGGCCCUGGAUGAGUUAGGUGCUGUCCCGGAUGUCACAGGUCUGGACCUUCCAGCUCUCUCCAGGAUGUUUCGUGAGUCAGAGGCACCCAACUCCUUCCACGGGCUGACAUUCCAAGGUGCCUGUGUUCUUGGCUCUGCCCUUGGAUAUCAUGCUCCUCCUUCCUCAUGUGCUCGCCACGAGUGCUGCUGUAAGUUCUCACGAGGAAUGACCUGUCGCCUCAACAGCCGACCGCUGACCUUGGUGUCUGUUCUGAAGGAGAUGGCAGUGCAGGGAAGGGCCUGGGGACUUACUGCCAGCUCUACCCAACCUAUGGCUCUGGGAGUGGUUGCUCUCUGCCACCACGGAGUGGACAGUGAUCCUGACUCUUCCUCAUUCAGUUGAAGGGAGAGCCACCCCUGUAAACACCACACAUCAGGAAGCAGCAUGAAGAUGGGGCAUGCUGCCUUUCACUCUGUGGAAGGCCAGCAUCAGGGGGAAUGUCACCACUGAUAUUCCACAGUGUGUGUGUGUGUGUGUGUGUGUGUGUGUGUGUAAGCUUGCCGGUAUUUUUUUCCAAAUGGAAAUGUUUGAUACAAAGCCCAACAAAUCAGGAAAGAAAAAAAAAGGAACUUAACUUAAAAAUAG